CAUGGGCAGGUUGAAGGUUGGGUAACACUAACUGGAGGACCGAACCGACUAAUGUUGAAAAAUUAGCGGAUGACUUGUGGCUGGGGGUGAAAGGCCAAUCAAACCGGGAGAUAGCUGGUUCUCCCCGAAAGCUAUUUAGGUAGCGCCUCGUGAAUUCAUCUCCGGGGGUAGAGCACUGUUUCGGCAAGGGGGUCAUCCCGACUUACCAACCCGAUGCAAACUGCGAAUACCGGAGAAUGUUAUCACGGGAGACACACGGCGGGUGCUAACGUCCGUCGUGAAGAGGGAAACAACCCAGACCGCCAGCUAAGGUCCCAAAGUCAUGGUUAAGUGGGAAACGAUGUGGGAAGGCCCAGACAGCCAGGAUGUUGGCUUAGAAGCAGCCAUCAUUUAAAGAAAGCGUAAUAGCUCACUGGUCGAGUCGGCCUGCGCGGAAGAUGUAACGGGGCUAAACCAUGCACCGAAGCUGCGGCAGCGACGCUUAUGCGUUGUUGGGUAGGGGAGCGUUCUGUAAGCCUGUGAAGGUGUGCUGUGAGGCAUGCUGGAGGUAUCAGAAGUGCGAAUGCUGACAUAAGUAACGAUAAAGCGGGUGAAAAGCCCGCUCGCCGGAAGACCAAGGGUUCCUGUCCAACGUUAAUCGGGGCAGGGUGAGUCGACCCCUAAGGCGAGGCCGAAAGGCGUAGUCGAUGGGAAACAGGUUAAUAUUCCUGUACUUGGUGUUACUGCGAAGGGGGGACGGAGAAGGCUAUGUUGGCCGGGCGACGGUUGUCCCGGUUUAAGCGUGUAGGCUGGUUUUCCAGGCAAAUCCGGAAAAUCAAGGCUGAGGCGUGAUGACGAGGCACUACGGUGCUGAAGCAACAAAUGCCCUGCUUCCAGGAAAAGCCUCUAAGCAUCAGGUAACAUCAAAUCGUACCCCAAACCGACACAGGUGGUCAGGUAGAGAAUACCAAGGCGCUUGAGAGAACUCGGGUGAAGGAACUAGGCAAAAUGGUGCCGUAACUUCGGGAGAAGG
rnacentral:rRNA from 1 species